GACGAACGCUGGCGGCGUGCCUAAUACAUGCAAGUUGAGCGAUGAAGAUUGGUGCUUGCACCAAUUUGAAGAGCAGCGAACGGGUGAGUAACGCGUGGGGAAUCUGCCUUUGAGCGGGGGACAACAUUUGGAAACGAAUGCUAAUACCGCAUAACAACUUUAAACAUAAGUUUUAAGUUUGAAAGAUGCAAUUGCAUCACUCAAAGAUGAUCCCGCGUUGUAUUAGCUAGUUGGUGAGGUAAAGGCUCACCAAGGCGAUGAUACAUAGCCGACCUGAGAGGGUGAUCGGCCACAUUGGGACUGGGACACGGCCCAAACUCCUACGGGAGGCAGCAGUAGGGAAUCUUCGGCAAUGGACGAAAGUCUGACCGAGCAACGCCGCGUGAGUGAAGAAGGUUUUCGGAUCGUAAAACUCUGUUGGUAGAGAAGAACGUUGGUGAGAGUGGAAAGCUCAUCAAGUGACGGUAACUACCCAGAAGGGGACGGCUAACUACGUG
rnacentral:rRNA from 1 species